CCUGGUGACCUGAGCGGAGUGGUACCACCCGUUCCCAUCCCGAACACGGAAGUGAAACGCUCCAGCGCAGACGAUACUUAAGGGGAAACCUUCCGGGAAAAUAUGUCGUUGCCAGGG
rfam:Chloroflexi bacterium RBG_13_51_36 RBG_13_scaffold_802, whole genome shotgun sequence.